rnacentral:rRNA from 1 species
GACGAACGCUGGCGGCGUGCUUAACACAUGCAAGUCGAACGGAAAGGCCCUGCUUUUGUGGGGUGCUCGAGUGGCAAACGUGUGUGUAACACGUGAGUCACCUGCCCUUGACUUUGGGAUACCUUCAGGACACUGGGGCUAAUCCCGGAUAGGAGCUCCUGCUGCAUGGUGGGGGUUGGACAGUUUCGGCGGUUGGGGAUGGACUCGCGGCUUAUCAGCUUGUUGGUGGGGUAGUGGCUUACCAAGGCUUUGACGGGUAGCCGGCCUGAGAGGGUGACCGGCCACAUUGGGACUGAGAUACGGCCCAGACUCCUACGGGAGGCAGCAGUGGGGAAUAUUGCACAAUGGGCGGAAGCCUGAUGCAGCAACGCCGCGUGCGGGAUGACGGCCUUCGGGUUGUAAACCGCUUUCGCCUGUGACGAAGCGUGAGUGACGGUAAUGGGUAAAGAAGCACCGGCUAACUACGUG